GGCCGUAUGCCCGAGUGGUCAGGGAGCCGAUUGCAAAUCGGUCCACGCCGGUUCGAAUCCGGCUGCGGUCU
rnacentral:tRNA from 1 species